rnacentral:lncRNA from 1 species
UAGAUUGCACUCAGUUCAGAAAAAUACUCACUGCGUUUACCACCCUCACCCCACUCUUUUUUUAGAUGGUUCAGACAUUUUCCCGUUGCAUCUUGUGUUCCAAGGAUGAAGUGGACUUGGAUGAGUUAUUAGCUGCUAGAUUGGUAACAUUUCUGAUGGACAAUUACCAGGAAAUUCUGAAAGUCCCUUUGGCCUUGCAGACCUCUAUAGAGGAGCGUGUGGCUCAUCUACGAAGAGUCCAGAUAAAAUACCCAGGAGCUGAUAUGGAUAUCACUUUAUCUGCUCCAUCAUUUUGCCGUCAAAUUAGUCCAGAGGAAUUUGAAUAUCAAAGAUCAUACGGCUCUCAGGAACCUCUGGCAGCCUUGUUGGAGGAAGUCAUAACAGAUGCCAAACUCUCCAGCAAAGAGAAGAAGAAGAAACUCAAGCAGUUUCAGAAAUCCUAUCCUGAAGUCUAUCAAGAACGAUUUCCUACACCAGAAAGUGAAGCACUUCUGUUUCCUGAAAAACCCAAACCAAAACCACAGCUGCUAAUGUGGGCACUAAAGAAGCCUUUCCAACCAUUUCAAAGAACUAGAAGUUUUCGAAUGUAAUAAUACUUCCACAGCAACAGGCGCCAGAGACCACUGUUGUUGUUUUGAGUGAAUGGUGGUUAGGAGAAAGACUUUGGUGGUGGAAUAAAGAAAAGCAUAAAACAAAGACUACUGAAAUAUAAAGAUUGCCUUAGUUUUAAAAUGUUUAGCCAUUAGUAUUUUAUAAAACUCAAUGCUAUUUUUAAAGUGUAUAAAUUGGUUAAAAUUUGUGAGUCAAAUAUAUAGUGAUAAUGUUAACAUGUUUGUAAUUGUUACAAAAUUUAAGGGUAUUUUUAUCUCUGCUUUCUUUUCAUGGUGUUUAUUAAAUAAUUGUGUAUAUACACCUUAGCUACUAAUAUCUUUAUUAUAGCCUUAAGACUUAAUUUUAAGUCUUAAAAAUAGUGUGUAUACUUGAAUAAGAAAGACACUGGGUACUGUUAAUGUGAUGCUAUUGAGUUAGUAGCCAAUUAUGAUUUCUCCUGUAUAAAUUCCAGUUUUUAUUGCUGCACAUAAAUUUUGUAACGUCUUAUAUUGUGAUGGCUAUGUCUUUUAUUGCAGAUUUAUUGGAUAUUAUGACAGAUUUUACUAAAGCUAGUGUUUUUAUAACAUAUAUAUCAGUUGAUGUUUACCUAUAAGUGGAGUAGAUUUUCAUCUGCCUGCAAUGGUAUAAUUUCAGUCCUAGCUAAAAAUGGAAAGUUGAACUGGAUAAAUUCUUUGAGUACCCUUAGACUUGUGAUUCUAAGUCAAACACAAAUGGGUUAAAUAAAAUGAGACUACUUCCGUUAUAUAUUUUCGUCCUUUUGAAAGUAAGUGAAAUGUAAAU